rnacentral:rRNA from 1 species
GACGAACGCUGGCGGCGUGCUUAACACAUGCAAGUCGAACGGUAAGGCCCUUCGGGGUACACGAGUGGCGAACGGGUGAGUAACACGUGGGUGAUCUGCCCUGCACUUCGGGAUAAGCCUGGGAAACUGGGUCUAAUACCGGAUAGGACCACUGCCUGCAUGGGUGGUGGUGGAAAGCUUUUGCGGUGUGGGAUGGGCCCGCGGCCUAUCAGCUUGUUGGUGGGGUGAUGGCCUACCAAGGCGACGACGGGUAGCCGGCCUGAGAGGGUGACCGGCCACACUGGGACUGAGAUACGACCCAGGCUCCUACGGGAGGCAGCAGUGGGGGAUAUUGCACAAUGGGCGCAAGCCUGAUGCAGCGACGCCGCGUGAGGGAUGACGGCCUUCGGGUUGUAAACCUCUUUCAGCACCGACGAAGCGCAAGUGACGGUAGGUGCAGAAGAAGGACCGGCCAACUACGUGCCAGCAGCCGCAGUAA